UACGUAGGGUGCGAGCGUUGUCCGGAUUUAUUGGGCGUAAAGAGCGUGUAGGCGGCCAAGCAGGUCAGCUGUGAAAACUCGAGGCUCAACCUCGAGACGUCGGUUGAAACCGCUUGGCUAGAGUCCGGAAGAGGAGAGUGGAAUUCCCGGUGUAGCGGUGAAAUGCGCAGAUAUCGGGAAGAACACCCGUGGCGAAGGCGGCUCUCUGGGACGGUACUGACGCUGAGACGCGAAAGCGUGGGGAGCGAACAGG
rnacentral:rRNA from 1 species